rnacentral:lncRNA from 1 species
UUGAUGGAUGUUUAUUGUACAAUAUAUACAAAUAUAGAUAGAUGGACUGGUUUCUUAAUUUUGUAAUCUACAUGUCGUUUAGAAGAAAAACUAAAUAGAAAAUUACACAAAUAAUCUCACAUCAACUGCUAAAAUCGUUGUCCUUCCUUGUUGUUAUUUGUUUUGGGCGGCAUGUGAAGUGGUGCAUGACAACUGUUUAGUAUUGAGAUAUACUGUCCAUUAAUGGUGGCUGAC